AGCAGCCGCGGUAAUUCCAGCUCCAAUAGCGUAUAUUAAAGUUGUUAGCAGUUAAAAAGCUCGUAGUUGAAUUUCGAGACCGGCUUACUGGUCGUGCUUUUGUACGUACUGGUAUAAUCGGUUUCUCCUUUCUGACGAACUAUAAUGCCAUUUAAUUUGGUGUUAUAGGGAAUCAGGACUGUUACUUUGAAAAAUUAGAGUGUUUAAAGCAGGCUCCCGCUUGAAUACAUUAGCAUGGAAUAACGGAAUAGACGUUUGAUUCUAUUUGUUGGUUUCUAGGAUCGACGUAAUGAUUAAUAGGGAUAGUUGGGGCAUUAGUAUUCAAUUGUCAGAGGUGAAAUUCUUGGAUUUAUUGAAGACUAACUACUGCGAAAGCAUUUGCCAAGGAUGUUUUCAUUAAUCAAGAACGAAAGUUAGGGGAUCGAAGACGAUCAGAUACCGUCGUAGUCUUAACCAUAAACUAUGCCGACUAGGGAUCGG
rnacentral:rRNA from 1 species